UUUUGAGGAUUUUCCUUUUUUUUCCUGAGGUCUCCGUGUGAGGGUUCCAGGAGUCGUUCUGAUAGAGGUGGCAUUCGCCAAGAAAGAGGAAGUUAUGAAGACACAUGGACAUUAUAUAGGGUCUACUGUGUGGGGAGGGACAGUUGCUAUGGC